rnacentral:rRNA from 1 species
GAGUUUGAUCGUGGCUCAGAUUGAACGCUGGCGGCAUGCCUUACACAUGCAAGUCGAACGGCAGCAUGAUCUAGCUUGCUAGAUUGAUGGCGAGUGGCGAACGGGUGAGUAAUACAUCGGAACGUGCCCUGUAGUGGGGAUAACUAGUCGAAAGAUUAGCUAAUACCGCAUACGACCUGAGGGUGAAAGUGGGGGACCGCAAGGCCUCAUGCUAUAGGAGCGGCCGAUGUCUGAUUAGCUAGUUGGUGGGUAAAGGCCCACCAAGGCGACGAUCAGUAGCUGGUCUGAGAGGACGAUCAGCCACACUGGGACUGAGACACGGUCCAGACUCCUACGGGAGGCAGCAGUGGGGAAUUUUGGACAAUGGGCGAAAGCCUGAUCCAGCAAUGCCGCGUGUGUGAAGAAGGCCUCGGCGUGUAAGACGACUUU